UACGUAGGGACCGAGCGUUGUCCGGAAUUAUUGGGCGUAAAGAGCGUGUAGGCGGCCUUUUAAGUCCUGCGUGAAAUCCUGCGGCUCAACCGCAGACGGUCGUGGGAAACUGGAAGGCUAGAGUGCGGGAGAGGAGAGUGGAAUUCCCGGUGUAGCGGUGAAAUGCGCAGAUAUCGGGAGGAACACCUAUGGCGAAGGCAGCUCGCUGGGACGUUACUGACGCUGAGACGCGAAAGCGUGGGGAGCAAACAGG
rnacentral:rRNA from 1 species